CCCUUGAUAGCUCAGUUGGCAGAGCGAUGGACUGUAAUAGAAAUUCUCAUGCUUAGUCAUCCACAGGUCACCGGUUCAAAUCCGGUUCGAGGGA